AACAAGCGCUCGACCAUCACUUCCCGGGA
rnacentral:piRNA from 1 species